rfam:Triticum aestivum genome assembly, contig: Triticum_aestivum_CS42_TGACv1_scaffold_486372_6AS
UAUAUACUCCCUCCGUCCGAAAAUACUUGUCCUAAAAAUGGAUGUAUCUAGAUUUAUUUUAGUUAUAAAUACAACCAUUUUAUCAAUUUGUUGGACAAGUAUUUUUGAACGGAGGAAGUAUAUC